UUAUAACACAGGUUUUCACUUAAUACAGUUGGUCUCUUAAGCAGGUUUGACUGUAACUUGCCAGCAGAUUUUUUUUUAAACAGCAAAUCUAAGUCAAGGAUAAUAUAAGAAUAAAAUUCUUCUUGAAUUACUGAGAACACCUGACUAUUUACUAAUUAGCUUAGUUAGUUCACAAAGGAACUUAACAAAAGUCAGAUAGCC
rnacentral:lncRNA from 1 species